rnacentral:ncRNA from 1 species
CCGGGGAAACAGCCUCCCGGUCUGUAAAGACAGACGGUGUCCCGUCCAAGUGCUGC